UGCUUAUUCUGAACAGAGCCUGAACUACAGGUGGGAUUGGAUAACUAUGUGUCGCCUUGGAAGGAGAUUAGCAGAAGCGUGCUCACUAGAGUAGGCCUUGGCCCGGGUCAGAUGGGGAGGCAGGUCGGGCGGGCCUUAAUGCGGUUGAGGCCCACGGGCGGGAACGAUCUGGUCAACACGGGAGCAGGCCGAGUCUAGGUCGUCGAGCAUGGUUGGGCAUUGAUGUGCAAGCAGGCCGGGAGAGUAGCUAGCCCACACGAGCGCUUGUGAGUGGCUUUUGCGGCUUCUUUGUCCUCCCGCACGGACACUCGGUCUCUGGCGAGCAGGGCAUGAACAGGGUUCACGGGGGACGGGGACGAGUGGAUCUGGGUGAGGGGGUCCCAUUCCCAGUACCGGAACGGCGACGACGACGAUCACCGACGACGGACGAAGCUGCCACCUCGUGGUGCCAUGGUGGCUUCGAAGCCUGCUGCAUAGGGAAUAGAGAGACAUAUGAGAGGGAGAAAUGGAUGGAGGAGGAGAGCAAGGCGAGGGCACAGGACACUGUCCUAGCGGCAAGGUCUUCAGCGACGGGCGACGAGGCCAAGCGACCUCCGGCGACGGGGCAGCGGGCGCGGGGAUGACGACGCAGGAGGAGUUCCAACGGGAGCUUGGGGUCGGGGCCUAUAUGGGCUUCUCAGGGCCAGAUCUGCGCCUAGCAAGACUGGCGGUGCUGGUCGGUAGCUGGCGGUGGCAUGGCGCACGUGGUUGGACGAGGGGCGGCUCAAGGCAGCAUAGCUCCUUGCGGUUGGCUGGAAUGAUGGCAGGGGCAACACAAAGUGGGUGAGGUGGGUUGGUGGCGUGCGGAUUUCGAGGGCUGGAUGUGGCUGGAGGUUAGGGCAGGAUAUGGU
rnacentral:lncRNA from 1 species